GACGAACGCUGGCGGCGUGCCUAAUACAUGCAAGUCGAACGCUGAAGGAGGAGCUUGCUUCUCUGGAUGAGUUGCGAACGGGUGAGUAACGCGUAGGUAACCUGCCUGGUAGCGGGGGAUAACUAUUGGAAACGAUAGCUAAUACCGCAUAAUAGUAGAUGUCGCAUGACAUUUGCUUAAAAGGUGCAAUUGCAUCACUACCAGAUGGACCUGCGUUGUAUUAGCUAGUUGGUGAGGUAACGGCUCACCAAGGCAACGAUACAUAGCCGACCUGAGAGGGUGAUCGGCCACACUGGGACUGAGACACGGCCCAGACUCCUACGGGAGGCAGCAGUAGGGAAUCUUCGGCAAUGGACGGAAGUCUGACCGAGCAACGCCGCGUGAGUGAAGAAGGGCUUCGGAUCGUAAAGCUCUGUUGUAAGAGAAGAACGAGUGUGAGAGUGGAAAGUUCACACUGUGACGGUAUCUUACCAGAAAGGGACGGCUAACUACGUG
rnacentral:rRNA from 1 species